GACGAACGCUGGCGGCGUGCUUAACACAUGCAAGUCGAACGGAAAGGCCCUGCUUUUGUGGGGGGCUCGAGUGGCGAACGGGUGAGUAACACGUGAGUAACCUGCCCUUGACUUUGGGAUAACUUCAGGAAACUGGGGCUAAUACCGGAUAGGAGCUCCUGCUGCAUGGUGGGGGUUGGAAAGUUUCGGCGGUUGGGGAUGGACUCGCGGCUUAUCAGCUUGUUGGUGGGGUAGUGGCUUACCAAGGCUUUGACGGGUAGCCGGCCUGAGAGGGUGACCGGCCACAUUGGGACUGAGAUACGGCCCAGACGCCAACGGGAGGCAGCAGUGGGGAAUAUUGCACAAUGGGCGGAAGCCUGAUGCAGCAACGCCGCGUGCGGGAUGACGGCCUUCGGGUUGUAAACCGCUUUCGCCUGUGACGAAGCGUGAGUGACGGUAAUGGGUAAAGAAGCACCGGCUAACUACGUG
rnacentral:rRNA from 1 species